rnacentral:rRNA from 1 species
UACGAAGGGAGCUAGCGUUGUUCGGAAUCACUGGGCGUAAAGCGCACGUAGGCGGAUGUGUCAGUCAGGGGUGAAAUCCCGGAGCUCAACUUCGGAACUGCCCUUGAUACAGCACGUCUUGAGUCCGGAAGAGGUGGGUGGAAUUCCUAGUGUAGAGGUGAAAUUCGUAGAUAUUAGGAAGAACACCGGUGGCGAAGGCGGCUCACUGGCCCGGUACUGACGCUGAGGUGCGAAAGCGUGGGGAGCAAACAGG